rnacentral:rRNA from 1 species
GGGUGAGUAACCCGUGAGUAACCUGCCCUUGACUCUGGGAUAAGCCUGGGAAACUGGGUCUAAUACUGGAUAUGACUGACUAUCGCAUGGUGGUUGGUGGAAAGCUUUUGUGGUUUUGGAUGGACUCGCGGCCUAUCAGCUUGUUGGUGGGGUAAUGGCCUACCAAGGCGACGACGGGUAGCCGGCCUGAGAGGGUGGACGGCCACACUGGGACUGAGACACGGCCCAGACUCCUACGGGAGGCAGCAGUGGGGAAUAUUGCACAAUGGGCGCAAGCCUGAUGCAGCGACGCCGCGUGAGGGAUGAAGGCCUUCGGGUUGUAAACCUCUUUCAGUAGGGAAGAAGCGAAAGUGACGGUACCUGCAGAAGAAGCGCCGGCUAACUACGUGCCAGCAGCCGCGGUAAUACGUAGGGCGCAAGCGUUAUCCGGAAUUAUUGGGCGUAAAGAGCUCGUAGGCGGUUUGUCGCGUCUGCCGUGAAAGUCCGGGGCUUAACUCCGGAUCUGCGGUGGGUACGGGCAGACUUGAGUGAUGUAGGGGAGACUGGAAUUCCUGGUGUAGCGGUGAAAUGCGCAGAUAUCAGGAGGAACACCGAUGGCGAAGGCAGGUCUCUGGGCAUUAACUGACGCUGAGGAGCGAAAGCAUGGGGAGCGAACAGGAUUAGAUACCCUGGUAGUCCAUGCCGUAAACGUUGGGCACUAGGUGUGGGGGACAUUCCACGUUUUCCGCGCCGUAGCUAACGCAUUAAGUGCCACGCCUGGGGAGUACGGCCGCAAGGCUAAAACUCAAAGGAAUUGACGGGGGCCCGCACAAGCGGCGGAGCAUGCGGAUUAAUUCGAUGCAACGCGAAGAACCUUACCAAGGCUUGACAUGAACCGGAACGGCGCAAAGAUGUGUCGGCCACUUGUGGCCGGUUUACAGGUGGUGCAUGGUUGUCGUCAGCUCGUGUCGUGAGAUGUUGGGUUAAGUCCCGCAACGAAGCGCACCCCUCGUUCCAUGUUGCCAGCGGGUUAUGCCGGGGACUCAUGGGAGACUGCCGGGGUCAACUCGGAAGAAGGUGGGGACGACGUCAAAUCAUCAUGCCCCUUAUGUCUUGGGCUUCACGCAUGCUACA